AAGAUGCUGGUUGGAUGAUAGAGAAACCAUCACCAAGUGUGACAGUGGCAUGCAGACACACAGACACACAUUUCAUGGAGACAAAUAUUGUCAAAUCUUAUGAAUGGAAUGGAAGGGAACUUCGGCGGAAAGCAAUUAAACUGGCUAACCUGCGAACAAGAAUAACCCACUCAGAACAAACUAAUCUCAGUAAAAUGAGAAGAGACACAGCCAUUCAAGUCUGGCCUCCAAAAGAUCAUACAACACAGACCAAGACAGAUUCCUACACAAAUGUACCACAGCUAACUUUCAAGCAAGGACGGAAGCUCAAGAACCCGGCAAUCAAUCCUUGCCGUCACCUGUUUUCACCAGUUUUCAUUCACUGCUAGAUUGUAUCAGUUACUAGUAUAAGAUGUGUACUAGGAUUAAUAAUGUGUUCAUGCUAUUGGAAUGUAUAGAUGUCUACUAUAAAAGAUUAGGAGACAUCUUUAAAGUGUCAACAGAAGUCACACAUAGAUCACAGCAACAGAAAAGUACAGAAUUUUGAGAAACAAGUGUUUGAGGUACUCAAGGGAGAUCAUGGUUCUGUAGAAUAUGCUCAGCUCUUGAUACAAGCCUUUACGCAUCUAAUGAAGUUUAUGACAGAUCAGAAGAGAACCAUCAGGGUUUCACUACUCUUACCUGAAGCUGAAAAUGUAAAGUUCAGGUUACAACUUUGUGCUACAGCCACAAAUCAGCUGAUUACUCUAUAUAAGCAUGUCAUAGAUUAUUACAACGAUGACGAUUGCACAGAUUUUACAGUACACUUGAUACUUCACAAGCUGAGAGAAGAUUUACUCAAGUAUAGAAAAUGUUUCAGUGGAUCAGAGUUUGUCAAGUGGAUAAUAGAGAACCAUAACUUGAUUUAACCACUGAGUUCACAAUUAGGUUUGCCUACAGAUUAUAUUCUUAUAACUAAAGAAAUAGCAGCAUUAAUGGGCAGGAGAUUUUUGGAAAGUAACCUGAUAGUAGAUGCAGAAAUUUAUGAUGAAUAUGAUCAAGACUCACAUACCACCUUAAUGUAAAAAUGGGGAAAUGUGUAUGCAACAUAUUGUUUCAAGAAUAGACAGAUGAUAGACUGGACCUGGAUACAAGCCUUAAUGCAACAAAUUAUCCUCAGUUGAGCAUCAUGGAAAAUGAACAGAAUAACAGAAGGGGAGAUAACUCAUCAAUUGAUAGUGAUGCAACACCAACUGAUACAUAUCCAAAAACUCUAUAUCGUGUACAUGGCAAAAUUUUAGUUUCGCCUGCCCAGCUACCAAGACAGACAAACAGAAGCUUUAAUAAACCAGUCUUUCAAUUAUCAUGUGAUACACCAAUGUCUUUCAGUACUUUAUUCAACGAGAGUGAUGGGCCAGUAUUUGAAAAUUGUGAUAAUCAUUUUUACUACAUUGCUACCAUGACAACUCUCCACAAUGCAGAAAACCAUGAACCUCCAUCAGAGUUAGAUAUUUUAGUGGAACAAUGUUUCCAAAGUCAUAUUUCUUCCAAUUCUUUACUGCAUAUUAUUUAUAGUCGUAGAAAGUUUGAUUCAUGUGCCAAGGUUUUUCUCCAGAACCAAUCAGCCUCUGUUCUGAGGAAACUUAAAGCAGAUUUAGAAGAUCACACUUCGUGUGAAAUAAGUUAGUUUUAUAUUAAAAUCUGAUCAUAUUUGAUUUUUAUUUCUAUCAGAUACAUUCAUAGGUGUCAACACUCAAUAUUUUUUUUUAUAAUUGUCAUCAGGUCCAUAGGAAAGCUGUAAUUUCUCUCUUUCCCCAGUUUCUAUCCCUUUCACUUUUAAAUGACUAUAAAUAGUUGAUUAUGUUAAAAAAAAAUAUGAAAAUUUUAUACAAUACAGUUAUAGCUAUCUGAAAAGUUAAUUCUACUUACUAAGUCUUUUUUGAAUAUCUAUUACAUUUGUACUAUAAGUUAUUAAUGCACAAAAUGUGACUAGGUGCAAUCACAAAAUUAAUAAUUCAUUUUUAGCUCACCUGGCCCGAAGGUCAACCAACCAAGAUGGCCGCCACCGCUAAAAAUAGAACAUAGGGGUAAAAUGCAGUUUUUGGCUUAUAACUUAAAAACCAAAGCAUUUAGAGCAAAUCUGACAUGGGGUAAAAAUGUUUAUCAGGUCAAGAUCUAUCUGCCCUGAAAUUUUCAGAUGAAUCGGUUAAUCGGUUGUUGGGUUGCUGCCCCUGAAUUGGUAAUUUUGAAGAAAUUUUGCUGUUUUUGGUUAUUAUCUUGAAUAUUAUUAUAGUUAGAGAUAAACUGUAAACAGCAAUAAUGUCUAGCAAAGUAAGAUCUACAAAUAAGUCAACAUGACCAAAAUGGUCAGUUGACCCGUUUAGGAGUUAUUGCCCUUUAUAGUCAAUUUUUAACCAUUUUUCGUUAAUUAAAGUAAUCUUUUACAAAAAUCUUCUCCUCUGAAACUGCUUGGCCAAAUUAAUCCAAACUUGGCCACAAUCAUCUUUGGGGUAUCUAGUUUAAAAAAUGUGUGGCGUGACCUGGUCAACCAACCAAGAUAGCUGCCACGGCUAAAAAUAGAACAAAGGGGUAAAAUGCAGUUUUUGGCUUAUAACUCAAAAACCAAAGCAUUUUGAGGAAAUCUGACAUGGGAUAAAAAUGUUUAUCAGGUCAAGAUCUAUCUGCCCUAAAAUUUUCAGAUGAAUCGGUCAAUCGGUUGUUGGGUUGCUGCCCCUGAAUUGGUAAUUUUGAGGAAAUUUUGCUGUUUUUGGUUAUUAUCUUGAAUAUUAUUAUAGAUAGAGAUAAACUGUAAACAGCAAUAAUGUUCAGCAAAGUAAGAUCUACAAAUAAGUCAACAUGACCAAAAUGGUCAGUUGACCCGUUUAGGAGUUAUUGCCCUUUAUAGUCAAUUUUUAACCAUUUUUCGUAAAUUUUAAGUAAUCUUUUACAAAAAUCUUCUCCUCUGAAACUACAUGGCCAAAUUAAUCCAAACUUGGCCACAAUCAUCUUUGGGGUAUCUAGUUUUAAAAAUAUGUGGCGUGACCUGGUCAACCAACCAAGAUGGCCGCCACCGCUAAAAAUAGAACAUAGGGGUAAAUGCAGUUUUUGGCUUAUAACUCAAAAACCAAAGCAUUUUGAGGAAAUCUGACAUGGGAUAAAAAUGUUUAUCAGGUCAAGAACUAUCUGCCCUGAAAUUUUCAGAUGAAUCUGUCAAUCGGUUGUUGGGUUGCUGCCCCUGAAUUGGUAAUUUUGAGGAAAUUUUGCUGUUUUUGGUUAUUAUCUUGAAUAUUAUUAUAGAUAGAGAUAAAUUGUAAACAGCAAUAAUGUUCAGCAAAGUAAGAUCUACAAAUAAGUCAACAUGACCAAAAGGGUCAGUUGACCCCUUUAGGAGUUAUUGCCCUUUAUAGUCAAUCUUUAACCAUUUUCCAUAAAUCUAAGUAAUCUUUUACAAAAUCUCCACUGAAACUACUAGGCCACAAUCAUCUUUGGGGUAUCUAGUUUGAAAAAUGUGUCGGAUGACCUGGCCAUUCAACCAAGAUGGCCGCCACGGCUAAAAAUAGAACAUAGGGGUAAAAUGCAGUUUUUUGCUUAUAACUAUGAAACCAAAGCAUCUAGAGCAAAUCUGACAAGAAGUUAAAUUGUUAAUCAAGUCAAUAUCUAUCUGCCCUGAAUUUUUCAGAUGAAUUGGACAACUGGUUGUUGGGUUGCUGCCCUCCAAUUGGUAAUUUUUAAAGAAAUUUUGCCGUUUUUGGUUAUCUUGAAUACUAUUAUAGAUAGCGAUAAACUGUAAACAGCAAUAAUGUUCAGCAAAGUAAGAUCUACAAAUAAGUCAACAUGACCUAAAUGGUCAAUUGACCCCUUAAGGAGUUAUUGCCCUUUAUAGUCAAUUUUUAACAAUUUUCAUUAAUUUGGUAAAUUUAUGUAAAUUUUUACCAAAUAUAGUUCUCUGUUACUAAUGGGCAAAGUUCAUGAUAGAUAUAAUUGUAAGAAGCAAAAUCGUUCAGUAAAGUAAGAACUUCAAACACAUCACCAUCACCAAAAUACAAUUUUGUCAUGAGUCCAUUUGUGUCCUUUGUUUAAUAUGCACAUAGACCAAGGUGAGCGACACAGGCUCUUUAGAGCCUCUAGUUUUGUAUCUAAAUUGCAAUAAUUAAUCUCAGAUUUUUGUCCAUUUAAAAAAAAAUCAAUAAUUUCUCGUUUUACAGUGAAAAGAAUUGUUUAAGUUAAUAAAUGGAAACUGGUUCUACAUCCAAUCUCCCUAUGAGAAAUUCAACGACAGAUUUCACAAUAUAAGUGCUUAAGAUGUUGACAUCUAUGGAUAGAAUUUGUGUUUAGGUAGCCAAGCAGCUUUAAAUUUCUAUUAUAUGAUUAUGUUAAAAUACUAAUGGCGUGUAAAAAAUAUAUGAAUGUGCAUCUUUAUGAGAAAAUAAUGUUAAAAUUUAUGGCUGCUAUUGAAUUUUUAAAAUAAAACAAAAAUGUUUAAGUAUAUCAGAUAUGAAAAGUUUUUGAUCUCAAUUUUUGAAUGUUCGUUGAAGAUUGAAAUUUGUAUAUUUGUUAGCUUUUUAUUGCUUCCUAUUUUAGUAUAUUUUGUUUAAGAUUUGGAUAACAUAAACAAGUAUAGUUUAUAGCUCUGCAUCUCUGAUUUAAAUAGCUGUCAGUUAUCACUUUUUACCCCCACCAAAAAAAAAAACUUUAGAAAAGUGUGACAUAGAAUAAAUUAAAAAUAUGCUUUCAUGUUGAAAGUAAUAAAAUUGUAAUUAAGAAAUUUAAUAAUUUAAUUUUGGUUGUAAUGAGUCUUCUGAUUUGCUGACGUUGUUUUAUUUAUCAAUUCAUAGACAUAGUUUUGUCAUGUGACCGUGACGUCAUCAACACAUUUUUAAUGGUUUAAUUUGGUUUAAAAUGGAAUUUUGAAUUAAAUUAUAAGAAAUGACUGUAAUAUUUUUCUGUCUUUUUGAAGUAACAUGGAAAAUGUGGUGCACACUUUGAAAUAACCUGUUACACGGGUUAUUCAGUGUGCACCACAUUUUUUAUGUUAUUUCUUCAUAAACAUUUUUAAUUUCUUUAAUGUGAUAUUUUUAUUUUGUAAAAAAAAAAGAAAACAACAAAGCUCAUCCAUAUUUUUAAUUACAAAAUUCUGUAAAGUAAAUUAAGAUAAAUUUUGUUGUUACAUUGUAUUUAAAGGAAAUGAUGUGGCGCUUCAGUUUCUGCACUCUUAACAUUAAUCAAUGUUUUCAGCACCUAAUUCUUUUGGUUGUGUAUAAUCUUCAUUGAUAUAAAUAUGUACUGAAUUCAUUGAAGUGAAUUUUAAAGAUAAUGUAUUUAUGUGCAAUAUUUCUUAGUGACUCAGGGAAAUUUGUUAAAUGACAUACCAGUUAUAAUAUGUAAUUUAUUAUGUUAGAAACAUUCUAAUUGAUGUAGAAAAGACCAUUCUGUGUCUUAUUUUUAUACAUUUAUUAAUGUACAAUAGUCAUAUAAAUAUGUAUAAAUACAAUAUGUACAUGAAAUGUGCUUGACAAUCAGCUGUGAUAUUUGUUAAAUCAGUUUUAAAAUAUUGAAAUUUUAUAUAAGUGUUGAAAUAAACAUCAUUUGUUUGUAUAUAUUUUUGCUGAAUCAGUGUAUUGAAUAAAUUGUAUUCUAAGUAGUCUAACUGUAUAGCUAGCUCUUUGUAGUGCGAACUUAGUAAAUUUCAUAAUAGCUCAAAUAUAGUGGACAUGGACAAAUUGAUAAUUUUCUUGAGAGAAUUUCAUUAUAACAAGAUUCCAAAGUUAUUAUAUCUUGAAAGUCAUUUCAAGCCAGAAAAAAAACCCAUCUCAGUGCACUUGCUUUUUAUCCCCUUUUUUCUUGAUAUAUCAUAUACUUUGUACUAAGUACUUCUUUUAAUAAUAAAAAAAUGAUUGAACCAUAUUUUAACUUGGAUAGUUUAAAUAUAUUUAUGAAAAAUCAAUGAUAAAACUUGAUGCCCCCUCCACUAUGACAGGGGCAUAAAAAGUGGGGUUUUAUCCUAUUGCUAAUGUCAACAAUUCCAAACAACAUUAAAUACUAAAAGCAAGAUGGUGAACAUGACCAUCAAAAAUCUUUUUAAAGCUCGAAAUUAAAAAAAAUCACUUGGUCAGUGGGUAGGAAGUUUGAGAAUUUCUAGAUAUUUAAUAUUGCUUUGGAAUUUCAUAUGAUAGAAUAAGAUUCUAUUGAUUUUAUUCCUUUUAUUAAGUAUCAGUUAGAAUUCAAAUGUGUAAAAUUCAGUAAAAUAGGAAGUUACACUAUGUUAUCAAUAAGGGGAAAUAAAUUAACUGUUGAUAAAACUUUUGAAUUUUUUAAAUACUAAAGCUUCUCUACCUCAGGAAUAGAUUACUGUAGCUGUAAUUGGCAAAACUUUAAGGAAUUUUGGUCCUCAAUGCAAUUCAACAUCGUACUUUAUUCAGCAUUUUUAACUUUUUUGGAUUCAAGCGUCACUGAUAAGUCUUUUGUAGAAGAAACGUGUGUCUGGCAUAAAUACAAAAUUUAAUCUUGGUAUCUAUGAUGAAUUUACUUAUAUAAUCUAUUCAUCAUAUUGAUUAAACUCAUCUCUAAAUAUAAAGAACUCUUAUGCAAAAUAGGUUCCAUUGACAAAUACUAAUGAAUUAUCUGUAAGUCAGAUUAAGUAUAAGUAAACUUUGUCUUUAGUCCUUAAGUUAUUUCAGACAAUUUAGUCUGAUUCCAAAGAUUACCUUAGUAAUUAGCUUUGUAAAUAAUCAACUGAUACAUGUGGUUAUCAUAAAUAAGUAACUUUCAAUAAUUUUAAUAACCUCCCCCAAAAUAAAAAUCUUUAAAUUUUAUUUAUGUAAAUGGAUUAAUUUGGGAAAUACAUCUUGUAAUUCAACUUGUGUUUGAUCUUAUACCACCGUUCGCCAUAUGUGUAAGGCCCAUUGGUACUAGAAUGAAAGGGAAUCAGAGCGAAUUAACACUGCUUACAAUCUGUUUUCUGGUGGCUGACUGCUGCAAAUGAAUGGUAUACAUUUUUGAAGGAAAAAGCUGAAGCACGAUUCCAGUUGCGGGAGUUUCUCACUGCAUUGAAAACCCAUUGGUGGCCUUCAGCUGAUGUCUGCCUUUUGAUUAGGUUGUUGUUUCUUUGACACAUUCCCCAUUUCCAUUCUCAAUUUUAUACUGUUUCAUAUUCAUUGUAUCUGAUAAAAAUUAAUAUGUUCUAAAUAGACCAACGUUUAUGAUGAGAUUGAUUUAUAACUAGUAUAACUCAUUAAAUGCAAAAUCUAAAAUAAGGUUAAAGUGGUUUUGACAGUUAUUAUCAGACAAAAAGAACCCUAGCCUGCUUUCUCGUCCACCGUCUAUGCAGGAGGGAACCUUUGAAUAUUAUUGGUGUUAGUAUACUGAAAGUAUUAUGUAACAAACAUAGCUCAGGAUCCUAUAAUUUAGUGGUUGUCGUUUGUUUAUGAGUUACAUAUUUGUUUUUCGUUCAUUUUUUAUAUAAGUAAGGCCUUUAGCCGUCUUGUUUGAAUUGUUUUACAUUGUCAUAUUAGGGCCUUUUAUAGCUGACUAUGCAGUAUGGGCUUUGCUCAUUGAUGAAGACCUAUAAUUGUUAAUUUCUGUGUCCUUUUGGUCUCUUGUGGAGAGUGGUCUCAUUGGCCAUCAUACCACAUCUUCUUUUCUUAUAGCUGUACAUAACUGAAUCCUUUUCUACAUCCAAACAAAAAUGUAAAAAAUGUAAACAAAAAUUUGUCUCAGGAGUUUUCCUUCUUUAUAAGGAUUUUUUUUCCAGUGUCUAAGUUUCGAUUUUUAUUUAUUAAUGACAAUUUGUAUUUGUAAAUUACUGGAAGAAUUAAAUAUAUGUGGUUAUAUGAAACCUUUGGAAACUAUGACAUUUAAAUAUAUCUUGAAAAAUUAUUUAUUUCUAAGAUACGACAAUUGCCAAUAAACACAAAUGGCAAGUGACCUUACUCUGAACUCAUCAGAUUUUAUAGUGGGAUUAUAUUGGUUAUUAAAGCUCUAGUCAUCCUUUUGAAAAGAAAACACAUGAUAAAUUAUUCGGUAUACGACCUUAGUUUCCCCAGUUUUAAAUUCAUAUUCUGCAAAGAUUCAAGAAUUUUUUUGUUUCUUAAUUCCUAAUUAUCAAUAAGUUUUAAAAAAAAAUUACAAUUUCAAUAAAACAGAUGGAAUCUGGGACUUAUCAUGACUGGUAAAAUUUCAAAACUUUAGAUGUCUAUUUUGACCAGCUGACACAAGCUUGGCAGUACGAGUGAAUUAUUUAUAGAAAACUAAAGAAAACAUUAAAAGAUUAAGAUCUAUUAAGUAAGUUUAUAUUUAAUUUUUGGAAAACUCCUGAUUUAUUUUUCAUAUUAUUCAUCAAAAAUAUUUCACCGAAUAAGGUCCAAAAACGAACAUAAAGAUAGAAUUUUAGUGUAAGUUUAAACUUUCAGAAGUUUAGGGCGUAUAAAUGCUGAAAAUGUGCUGCACUACCUUAUAUUUUGACCUUUAAUAAAAUAGUACUACUAGAACUAGUCAAAGCAGCCAAGUCAGCUUGUGCCUUAUACAAACAGUCACUUUCUUAAAUUGUGUUUGAACUAAUGUUUAACAAUGAUUAGUGCUCUUGCUAAUGUAAAAACUGUGCUUUAUGUGUUUAUUCAAAAUCAUAUUUUCUUUUGACAUUUCAACAAGUUUGCUUUAACUGUUGUUUAAAAGAACUUUUUAAUUUAGUGCUUUAGGAUAAACAUUAUAAGAAACAUUCAAGAUAGUAACUAUUGUUUGAAAUUUUAUUUUAUUCUGUUAUUGUAACUUGUUAUUACAUUUCUUGAGCUAUAUAUGAUGAAUAAAAAUGUGAAAACCCCUUUA